rnacentral:rRNA from 1 species
CACGUAGGGCGCGAGCGUUGUCCGGAAUUAUUGGGCGUAAAGAGCUCGUAGGCGGCCUGUUGCGUCCGCUGUGAAAGCCCGGGGCUUAACCCCGGGUCUGCAGUGGAUACGGGCAGGCUAGAGGUAGGUAGGGGAGAAUGGAAUUCCCGGUGUAGCGGUGAAAUGCGCAGAUAUCGGGAGGAACACCGGUGGCGAAGGCGGUUCUCUGGGCCGGAACUGACGCUGAGGAGCGAAAGCGUGGGGAGCGAACAGG